ACCUUCUCCGGCGUACAAGGAGCGCAACGGAUGGGCUCCGGUGCCAGCACAGGCGAGCCCAGCGCUGGGUCCAGAAGGAUAGAGGACACUGCCACUACCCAGAAUUUCAAAAAUAAUCCACACAUCACAAACGGAGAGUAAAGAAAACAACUAACAAGUAUUGCAGUGUCUCGCUACAAUCCGGACCGGGGCUUAAUUGAAUUCAACAUGGAAAAGACGUCAAUAUUUACAUAGGAACAAACGGUACCGGCACGUCGCUUUCCAAGGAAACAAUAUCGAGCAAACACUGGCAUGGAGGGAGACACGUCUCCUAGUCGCGCAGCUGUCCGAUUCUUCCGCACGGAGCGGUGCGUUUUGUCGUCACCGGUCCGAAUACUCGAUACAGAAAAUAUGCCGUGAAUGGAGUCCGACAUUGACCGACCAGCGACCCAAAGCAGGGAGAGGACCCGGACUUCCCGAUAUGACGAUGAUGUGAUAUGCCAACGAUCAUUUGAGAUUUCCUUCUCUCCACCUUCUCCAGUAAUUAUAGUGACCAUAUGGAGCACUGAGACUUGCGUGUAUAUAGAUUUGUCCACUUUAAUUUAAUAUAGGUUAAAAUAUUAAAACUGUUUAUAUGAAGAAACAUUUCUAAAUUGUAGUGGCUUGCCACCCAGUUCGUUUCACAUUAUAUGAAAAGACAGAAUAAUAAAUUUACACUCUGGCCAUUAUUCAAAUCAAGUGUGAUUCCGAUUAUCUUGCUCUGAGAAAAGCGCAUCCUUACUUCUACAGUUGCAGAAAAUGCCUAAUGUCCUUGGAGGCACAAGGCGCGAGGCUAAUAACAUAGGGUAGUGGCAUGCCGGUCUAUUGUGAGGCACGCACGCACACACCCGGAGAUAUUCACACUCCCCAGGUCACCUGAGCUGCACGUCUUUGCACUAUGGGAGGAAACCGGAGAGCCUGGAGGAAACCUGCAUGAACACAGCGGGGAAAGGCGGGAGGUGGUACAGGGGAGCCCGCCCUCUUCGCAUCGGGAUCUCCAGUGCUGUAGGUGUGAGGCAAGAAUACUUUGGACAGAGUGGCGUACUAACUGCGCUCAUUUGGAAGGGCUCUAUUUUUGGAAGGGAAGGAAAGAUUAUAAGGUCAGUUGGUGAUUAAUGUAGUGGACCUCCUUCCUGACUACUGGCAGUUUCCAUCACAGGAAGAAGAACAUCACUGUGUCGUUGGAGGACUCCUUAACCUAAAUUACCUUAGUAAACAUUCCUGUACAUGA